rnacentral:misc_RNA from 1 species
GCAAACUUGGUCAUUUAGAGGAAGUAAAAGUCGUAACAAGGUUUCCGUAGGUGAACCUGCGGAAGGAUCAUUAACAAUGUGCAAUCCUUUAUCCACCUUGUGUGCAACUCGAGAAAAAAGCCUGCUCCGGAAAGAUUUAUUUUUUUUAAUCUUUCCGGAGAGGUCAUCACGAUCAAUUAUUUUUUUCUUUUCUGAUUUAUCUAAAAAUGCAAAUUUGAAAUAAAAAACAACUUUCAACAACGGAUCUCUUGGCUCUCGCAUCGAUGAAGAACGCAGC